ensembl:lncRNA
CUUUAAAGAGCAUAAACCGUGGACUAAAUUAAAGUGUGGAUAGUACAUAGAUUGAUGCUGGUCCUGGUGUUGCUGUGAAUCCUGCUGCUGUUGCUGUGAAUCGUGGCGUUGCUGCUGGUGCUGCUGCUGGUGUUUUUUUACUUGCUAUCGUCCUACUUUGUGUCUUGGCAAAUUUAAAAAAUACUUUUCCAGCUGGAACCCGGCCAGAUGGAUCCUCUGCUUGAAGAACAGUGACCCAAAAACGUCUGAAAGGGAAACCAGCAACAGGAAGACGUUGUACUUUUCAAGGGUUGUCAACAAUCUUUAACUGUAACAUUAUUGACAACAAUGUACUGCCUCGGAUACAUACAUGAUUUUAUAAUACGGUUGCCAGUGACCAUUAUGAAUAGCAUAGUAAACCUCCACUUUUGUCCUUUAAACCCAAUUCAGUACCCAGAGCCUUUAACCACUCAUAACAAGAGAUUCUCCUCAAAAAGUUUACACAAAACAUGUUUGCUCACUGUUAAAACUUGAAAUGACAGCUUUAUGCGUGCACUGAUAUGGAGCGCUCAGGUCACUGUAAACGGUACUGUACAUGGGUCAAUAAUGUACACCCUGUGACUCACUCUCAACCAAUCAGAAUGCUGGAUUUCACCUACCCGUAUUAUAACAUACUACGAGUGUUAUUGGUUUACUGGAUCAUCUCAGUUAUUCUGCCGCACUCCUUAUUUGUGUUGUGCAUUCAUGUCACAUGUUACUGUUACCAAGAUUGUGUUAGUAGCUGAAACCUCUGCUACAGAUAUUUUAAUCACAUCCAUUACAAUCAGAAAUGAGCCACGAUACACAGUUUUCUGCAGACAUGUAUAUAAAUGACUGGAUAUGCCAAUCCGGAUUCAUCCACCGCACAAAGAAUUCACAUGUGGCCUUCUAUCAGUCAUAUUUGGUGAGAUCUUCUGUUAUUUCCCUCAGCAAUAUUUCAUCUCAGCAUUUACCAGUCUCAGCCUUUAUGCUAAUCACACAGCCAGUAAUAAGCAAACAGGAAAACUCACAUUUCUUCUAGCGCACUUUUAAGGACCAAACCAGGCCACAUUUUCGGUACUAAGAAAAACUACCAUUUGGAAGCCAGAGUUUUUAGUUAAUAUUAUUUAUCGUGCAUCCAUCCUCACCCUUGUCUGCCCUGACAUAUUGAAGGGAAAGCUAUUCAUGUUUUCAUAUAGAUAUUGUAGUGUAGUGUAGCCAUUUGUCAUUGACCCAUUGCUUGGGAGCAAUAAAUCAUUACGUGUCAAAGGGUCGCUGCUGCACUCAGUCUCAGCCUUUAUGCUAAACACACAGCCAGUAAUAGGCAAGCAGGAAAACUCAAACUUCAAGUUUACUUCUAAGGACCAAACCACGGCACAUUUUUGGCAUUAAGAAAAAUGACCAAAACCAAGUUUUUGUUUAUAUUAUUUAUUGUGCGUCUAUCUUCACCUUUGUCUGCCACGGUGUUGUGAAUCUGUUGUGCCAUAUUUGCUUUUUAUAAUGUGAACCCUUCAAUAAAAUAAAACCGUAUGGUGUUGUACCAAACCAAA